ACUUUAGUCAGUUUGGUUGUUUUGAAAGCAGCUUUUAAGUGCAAAUGUUUCAAAGAGAAAUCCUCCAGCGAAUUACUAUCAGAUAAUAGCACCUUUGUUUGCUGGCAGAGUGAAAGGCUGUGAUGUCCUCAGACAGAAAACAGAGAAGUUUUGACGAAGAGGAGUGGUGUGUUAGAGGUCUGGGGCUUCAGAAGUACUAGGCAGUGGUCAGUUUGAGGAUGCUGUGUACGGCUGUGAUCGAAGAUUCGGAGUCACUGGAUGGAAGAAGGGAUAGAGAAAGGGAACUGGAGUGAUGUUGGAGGAGUAAAGAAAGAAAAGUUAUCUAUUGUCGCCAGACAUACACUGAAUGGUAGCUUUAUUUGAACAACUCCCAUCCUUCCUUCCCGAGGAGCAGCAUUGUAGUCGCCAAGUGUCCUGAAGGAUCUGAUAGAACAGCAAGAAUUUCCAGGUAGAGCCAGUGAUUGAGCCAGGUUCUGGGAAAUGAAAAUAAAUGAUCUGGAAGCCUCAGCUACUGGACAAACUUUCUCUGGAAGUUGAAGAUCGUAAAGGCCUUGCACCUGAAGUGAGCUAAAUUCACCUCGCCUUGUCUACUGAGGGGAAGGAAAAGGGAAAUCACACCCCAGAGCUCGGCGAGCCCAUAAAAUGGCAGAGCUUCCUGGAGAAGGCUGCCCUGAACCCCAAGGCCCUGGCUGCCGGCGCUGUAAUGAAAUGCAUGACUACGGAAGACAAUAAUAAUUGCAGCAACGGCUCGUUCCAGCUCCCGGAUGAUUUGGUGCUGUCAGGAGUGCGCUGUCCUCUGACAUCCCAGGAGGUGAACAGCACCAGUGACUGCAGGCCCUGAUUGGGGCAGUGAAAUAUUGCUGGCAAAAAUUAAAAGGUCCCCGUGUCAAAAUAAUUCAUGAUAUGCAUAUCUUCCAUUCUGAUGAAACGGCUGAUAUCCGGAUUAGCAAGAUAAUAAAACUGAUCAGGCUACAGUUAAACAAUUUAAGUUGGAGAGCUGUUCAUUUUGUAGGUGUCACUUGUCAGAUCAAGGGGUCAAAGCAGAAUGAAAGGCUCUCCCCGGUAACCUUCCGAUGAUGUGGAUCUGGAAUGUUCUUCAUGAUUUGUCCAAAGUUUUCAUCAUCGGGCUGCCGACUAGCAUUACUGCGGCAGGCUGUGUUCUGACAUUCAAAUCCCCGGAAUGACAGGUUAUUAGGAGAGGAGAACAGGCUCUACAUACAUUAAGCGCCGUAUCUCUGACCUGUAAUGUGAACUGAUAGUGAUAUUGUAAUUGAGUGCGUCUAAAAAAAAGGAGGGGGGAGUCUUUAUUAAAACAUGGGAAUAGAAAGGAAAGCAUUUAUAUUUCUGAUGAUUUGUGGGUUUGUAAAAUAAGCUUUUUGGUGAUGAUUUAUUUUCCAUUUCUAGAAGGCUGAGUGGUGUGCAUAGUGUUUAUUUGGUGUAACAGUUAUUAAACUAAGAUAACACGAACUCUCUCAGCCUCUCUCCACAUGCUGAGCAGGCACAGAUCAAAAGAGAUUUGUUCUAUUAAAGGCAGUAGCUUUAAAAUGAACAAAAUGGGCCCAAGUACAACCCAAGGCCAGGACGACUCCUCAGGAUGUUUGCCUUAGAGCUCUGGCUUCAUGCGCUGCUCUGCCUGAGGCUGAGCUCUCUCUCCUCCAUGAGCCCAGCCAAGGAGGCUGGGCGGCCUCCCUUAUUGGUGUCAACGACUCCAUUGUGGGUGGUGUCAUGCACUGGGAAACUAAUUUAAUGUGCAUUAACGGGGUCUUAGGUGAUACCUUUCAGCUUUCUCAUGAAAUACCCUAGUCUUAGGGAGUGAGGCAGGCAAAUCACUGAAUUCAGUGGUGGCUGUGGGUUCCCAGAAAGAGCCUGACUCUUUGGUGACCAUAAAGAGACUCAGUGGGUAGGGGCACCUGG